GAUGAACGCUGGCGGCGUGCCUAAUACAUGCAAGUAGAACGCUGAAGGAAGGAGCUUGCUCUUUCCGGAUGAGUUGCGAACGGGUGAGUAACGCGUAGGUAACCUGCCUGGUAGCGGGGGAUCACUAUUGGAAACGAUAGCUAAUACCGCAUAACAGUAGAUGUUGCAUGAUAUCUACUUAAAAGGUGCAAUUGCACCACUACCAGAUGGACCUGCGUUGUAUUAGCUAGUUGGUGAGGUAACGGCUCACCAAGGCGACGAUACAUAGCCGACCUGAGAGGGUGAUCGACCACACUGGGACUGAGACACGGCCCAGGCUCCUACGGGAGGCAGCAGGAGGGAAUCUUCGGCAAUGGACGGAAGUCUGACCGAGCAACGCCGCGUGAGUGGAGAAGGGUUUCGGGUCGUAAAGCUCUGUUGUGAUAGAAGAACGAGUGUGAAAGUGAAAAGUUCACGCUGUGACGGUAUCUUACCAGAAAGGGACGGCUAACUACGUG
rnacentral:rRNA from 1 species